GUGUCAGAAAAACACAUUUCAAAUGAUUUUUUUGCGAUUUUCUGAUCGCCUUGAUAUCUACAAAAGGGACUUUUUAAGAACGUUAAAUAUUACUCUAACGAAAAAUCGUAGCUUCUAUAUCAUUGUAUGUAACAUAUUAUCUACAAACUAAAUUGAAUCUGCGUACAGGAGGUUCAUGUCUUUCCUGUUACCGCUACUUAAAUCAGCCGUCAAAUUAUUCUCCCUAUGAAUAUUGAAUCAGUCAGUGUUGAUCUCAAAAGUGCAAAGUAAUCUUUACAUUUAAAACGCC
rnacentral:lncRNA from 1 species